UACGUAGGCAGCAAGCGUUGUUCGGAGUUACUGGGCGUAAAGGGUGUGUAGGCGGUUGCUUAAGUUUGGUGUGAAAUCUCCCGGCUCAACUGGGAGGGUGCGCCGAAUACUGAGUGACUCGAGUGCGGGAGAGGAAGGUGGAAUUCCUGGUGUAGCGGUGAAAUGCGUAGAUAUCAGGAGGAACACCGGUGGUGUAGACGGCUUUCUGGACCGUAACUGACGCUGAAAACACGAAAAGCGUGGGGUAGCAAAACAGG
rnacentral:rRNA from 1 species